AUCUCUCUCUCUCUCUAUAUAUAUAUAUAUAUAUAUAUAUAUAUAUAUAUGUGGUAACAUAACUUCAUUCAUGUUGGAUGCAAUUGCUUGCUAUAGGGCAGAGGUAGAACAUAUAUGCUAGAACCCGUAUGGUGGUGAACUGUACCUGAAGAGGAUAAAGCUAAAGGAAACUCUGGUGGAGGUCCGAAACGAUUCUGAGGUGCGAGUGCGAAUUGAUCGUCUGACUUUGGUAUAGCGACGAAAGAUUAAUCGAACUAUCUAACAGCUGGUUUCCUCGGAAGUUUAGUUUAAGAUAGUUGGAAUACGUGAUGAAGUACUUACAUUCAGUAAAGCAAAUGACUAGAAGAUUUGUGGGACUAAAUGUCUUCAAUCUAUUCUCGAACUUUCAGUGAAUAUGACGUCUCGCUUGCUUAAAUGAAGCGUAGACAUUGAAUGUAUCCUCCAAGUGGGCUAUUUUUAUUUGAGGAAUUUUUUUUUUUACAGAAGAGGAGGAGGAGGUUGCAGUUUCAGAAAUUCGAACAGUUGUGCGCACUGAACGACAUGUGCA
rnacentral:ncRNA from 1 species